rnacentral:piRNA from 1 species
CUCGGUCUGAUCUUUGAUGCUCUG